GGGGCUGUAGCUCAGCUAGGUAGAGCGCCUGGCUCAUAACCAGGUGGUCAUCGGUUCAAACCCGGUCAGCCCCA
rnacentral:tRNA from 2 species